GUCCUGUCGAUGGUCGUGGUCUUGUAGGACGAACGCUGGAUUUAGAAGCAGUUGUGUAAGGCUUCAGGAGCUCACAAUUGUUUGGCCCAAUCAAAUCUGGGAACACUAGAGAAGUUAUCACCCAUCAAGGGAAAAAGACUGGCCUGAAGAGACCCUAAGCAUCUUGCUACCUGUCUUCUCUCCUUGAAGGAUCUUCUUAGACCCAAAGGGACAUGACUUUUCAUGAGGUUGGGAGAGAAGCUAGUGAUGCAUUAAACCCACACUUUUCCUGCUGCCUCUGCUGCUGCCGCCACUGCUUCUGCCAACACAUACGCUCUUCACCCCCAUGGAGGGGCCCCGCUGCCAGUUCUCCAUCCACUGCCACCAGCAGCAGGAGCCAUGCCUCCACUGCACCUGCUUUAUGUGGCUCUCAGCAACAUCCACCUGUCUGUAAACAACUCUGGGGGACCUUGAGACAAGCUCAUGAUGGCUCCACACCAUGGGCAACUUAUUGGCGGCCCUGUGUGCUGGGACGGGAACCCACUAAAGAAGGGACUGAACAAGGGGUGUUAACAAUGCUUCUUGAAAAUAUGUGGGUUGAAUUGUAACCCUGCAAUUGUGGGGAUGGAUUCUGUGCCUUGUGAAUAACAAAUGUAAUUCCUUUGCUCUGGAGAAUCCCAGCCAGUGUGGUCAAAGAGCAAAAACUUGAAAAAUAUCCUCGGGCAAGCAUAGAGGGGAAGAAGACAGUAAAAUGUUCAGAUGGGAUCGGAAAGAGAGAGACAGCAAGUAGAUUCAGGAAGGUAAUUGGAGUGAGAUUUGAAAGGGAGUUAUCUAAAUACAAACAGCAAAAACUCUGCAGCAAGAAGCACAGAAAUCAAAGUGCCCAGCAGUAGUAACCUGUGUCUGAGACGUGACUACCCACCAUCCCCUAUAGUCGGGCUCUGUCCAAAAGCCAAGUCUCACAGUAGACUUCAAUAAUACAACUGAGCAUAGUACGCAGUAUUGAUGUAUUGAACAUAGUUCUCAAUGAGCAUUUGCCAAAUUUGAUUGAAUUGUCAAUAAUUUGUUCUUGACCCUACAAGACUCCUGUACUAGUGUAGAGAAGUCAUGCUGUUCUGAACAGAAAUAGAUGGGCUUAUGUUACAGGACAGAGGAUUUGGCUGCCAUCAAAGGGAAUUCUUCCCUGCUGUGGGGGAAGUGAGAACAUUAGAUAAGUGGAUUAUCUUUUAUUUUUUGGGGGGGUAAUCAUUAUUUUUAAAGAGUUCAACACACUCUCCACACAGGGAAUUCAGAAAUGGAUUAAACUCCAGCACAGUCGUUUAUUUUCCUGAUGGCCUCUUGCAAAGGUAUUUGUUCAAAAAGAGUCGCAGUGGCCAGAUGCUCUAGUGACUGGAGCCCCAGAACACUGGCAUGGACUGCUUCACAGAUUAUGCCCUUGAUGGCUUGAGAAGCUCAGAUGGGACUCUCUUGAUGAGUCUAAUGGAAGCUGCCCUGGUCCUCAGGGCCAGAGAUCCAAGUUUAGGAGAGGGGCGUGGAAUACAGGCACACAUUCUGAAAUGAUAUUACCACAUUCUUGGUUCUUGAUUAUUCUGGUUCUUCUCUUCAGCAUUACAAGGAAUCAUCUUUAGAAAAAGUGGAAGUGUGUACCAAGACUGAGCUGUCAAAGGACUCCUCAGAUACUUGAAAUCAUGUGUUUUAAACAAAGCCAUCUAUGAAGGACUGCCUCAUAUGCAGACCAUUCUGAAAGAGAAUUCCAUUGGAACUGUGUAGGGAGAUUAAAUGAUUAGGCUGGAAAUCCAGAAAGAUCAGAAGUUCAGUCUUUUGCCUUCAAUAAAUCAUACUUAAAUUAUGAUAUCUCAUUAAGAAAGCCAUUAUCAAGAGUGUUGUAGU